UACGGAGGGGGCUAGCGUUGUUCGGAAUUACUGGGCGUAAAGCGCGCGUAGGCGGAUCUGCAAGUCGGGGGUGAAAUCCCGAGGCUCAACCUCGGAACUGCCUUCGAUACUGCGGGUCUCGAGUCCGGGAGAGGUGAGUGGAAUUCCUAGUGUAGAGGUGAAAUUCGUAGAUAUUAGGAAGAACACCAGUGGCGAAGGCAGCUUCUUGGUCCAUUCCUGACGCUGAUACACGAAAGCGUGGGGAGCAAACAGG
rnacentral:rRNA from 1 species